rnacentral:rRNA from 1 species
CACGUAGGGCGCAAGCGUUGUCCGGAAUUAUUGGGCGUAAAGAGCUCGUAGGCGGUUUGUCGCGUCUGCUGUGAAAACGCGAGGCUCAACCUCGCGCCUGCAGUGGGUACGGGCAGACUAGAGUGCGGUAGGGGAGAUUGGAAUUCCUGGUGUAGCGGUGGAAUGCGCAGAUAUCAGGAGGAACACCGAUGGCGAAGGCAGAUCUCUGGGCCGUAACUGACGCUGAGGAGCGAAAGCGUGGGGAGCGAACAGG